rnacentral:rRNA from 1 species
CAUCAUGAUUCAUGAAUCGACGCACAUGAGUAUCAUCCAGCGCCUAUAUCACUCGCCCAAGAAAGGCCAUUGCGAUGGCUUCGACCGCCGGCUGGCAGCAUAAAGAUCAAUGUAGAUGGGGCGCUGGCAAGGCGAAGCAGAGGAGGAGCAGUAGCAGUUCUAUGCCGGGACCAGGACGGCGUCUACUUGGGAUCAUCGGCGGUGGUUUAUCAUCACACGCGGGAUCCCCUUCUUCUGGAGACAUAUGCUUGUCGGGAGGCACUAGCACUCGCCGACGACCUUGGAGCAGGGAACAUCUAUGUGGCUUCGGAUUCCCAGGAGGAAAUACUGAGUCAUUGUAAUAAUUUUAGCUCUUGCUCUUUUGUUCAUGAGCGUCGGAACUUCAACUUCGAGGCUCAUAAUCUCGCUAAAUAUGCUUGUAAGCUAGGUAUAGGGCGUCAUAUUUGGUUGGGCACACCUCAUGACCCAACAUCUGUAACUAUGACUAUUUCUUUGAUUGAAUAA